UACGUAGGGACCGAGCGUUGUCCGGAAUCAUUGGGCGUAAAGAGCGUGUAGGCGGCCCCUUAAGUCCUGCGUGAAAUCCUGCGGCUCAACCGCAGACGGUCGUGGGAAACUGGAGGGCUAGAGUGCGGGAGAGGAGAGUGGAAUUCCCGGUGUAGCGGUGAAAUGCGCAGAUAUCAGGAGGAACACCGGUGGCGAAGGCGGAUCUCUGGGCCUUACCUGACGCUCAGGUGCGAAAGCUAGGGGAGCGAACAGG
rnacentral:rRNA from 1 species